AUGGGCUGCCUGCUGGCGCUCACCGACGACCUCAUCGCAGACAUCCUCAUCCGCCUGCCGUCGCCGGCUGACCUCGCGCGCGCCUCCGCCUCCUGCGGCCCGCUCCGCCGCGUCGUCACCUCCCCGCGGUUCCUCCGCCGGGUCCGCUCCCUCCACGCCCCGCCCCCGCUCGGCGUCUACGUCCCCGACGCCGCCGCAGGAUUCUUCCCCGCCCUCCCGCCGAACCCCGCGGCUCGCCCCGCCCGCGCGCUCGCCCUCGCCGCCGACUUCUCCUUCGCCUUCCUCCCGGCCCCCGCGCGCGCCUGGCUCGUCCGCGACCGCCGCGACGGCCGCUUCCUCCUCGACCGCGCCGCGCCCGCCGGCUCCACGGCCUUCACCGAGGUCGCCGUUUGCGACCCGCUCUCCCGGCGCUGCCUCCUGCUCCCGCCAAUCCCCGACGCCCUCGCCGCCUCCGUCGACAACCCCUACCUCCAGCGCGGCGGCGACGACGGGGGGCUCCAGUCGCGCAGCAACGAGAUCUUCCUGGCUUCUCGCGGCAACGACGACCGCGGCGAGGAGCUGCCGUUCGCCGUCAUCUGGAUGGCGUGCUGCCGAGGGAAGCUGGUCGCGUUCUCCUUCUGCUCUGGAUCUCGGGAAUGGAGCGCGCUUUCGCCGCCGGUGCACCACGCGCUCAGCAUGCGGAGGGUCAUGGGUGUCCGACUGGGGCAGCGCAACCAUGCCCACGGGUGCUUCUACUGGAUGAUAACUCUCACCCGGAGGUGGCUCGUGCUGGACACCCGCAAAAUGGAGUUCUCCAUCCUCGACAUUUCGCCUGUCCUGGCAGGCCGCUCGAUGAUGUUCAGUAAUCAGAUCACCACUCUGGAGUCAGGAGAAGGCAGGACAACCGUUGUGGUCUCAGAUCUUUUCAGGGCGGAUAAAAGAUGUGUCCUCUACUUUUAUUCGUUCAUGCAUUUCAGUGACCGGUGGCAGCUGCUGAACAAAAUCACCUUACCUGAGGAAUGGGGAGACCGGUUUCGAGGCAUCAUAGGUGCAUUUGAGGGCUGCUUAUAUAUAAAGCUAGAUCAUCCAAAGCAGAACUUGGGAGAUCCUGUUGAGCAAAAUGUCACAUACUUUUGGUUCGAUCUCAAGACUAUGCAGGUUGGUAGGUUCACCGAGAUAAGUUCUGCUACGGUGAACGAAGCCUACCUUUACACGGGGUUUCCCCCAUCACUGUCACUUCCUAGUGUUUGA
rnacentral:rRNA from 1 species